rnacentral:rRNA from 1 species
AGAGUUUGAUCCUGGCUCAGAAUCAACGCUGGCGGCGUGCCUCAGACAUGCAAGUCGAACGAUUAAAGCUCUCUUCGGAGAGUGUAUAGAGUGGCGCACGGGUGAGUAACACGUAAGUAAUCUACCUUCGAGUGGGGAAUAACAGUCGGAAACGACUGCUAAUACCGCAUAAUGCAGCGGCAUCGCAAGAUGACAGUUGUUAAAGGAGCAAUCCGCUUGAAGAGGAGCUUGCGGCAGAUUAGCUAGUUGGUAAGGUAAUGGCUUACCAAGGCUACGAUCUGUAUCCGGUCUAAGAGGACGGUCGGACACACUGACACUGAAUAACGGGUCAGACUCCUACGGGAGGCAGCAGUCGGGAAUUUUGGGCAAUGGGCGAAAGCCUGACCCAGCAACGCCGCGUGAAGGAUGAAGUAUUUCGGUAUGUAAACUUCGAAAGAAUAGGAAGAAUAAAUGACGGUACUAUUUAUAAGCUCCGGCUAACUACGUGCCAGCAGCCGCGGUAAUACGUAGGGAGCAAGCGUUGUUCGGAUUUACUGGGCGUAAAGGGCGCGUAGGCGGCGCGACAAGUCACUUGUGAAAUCUCCGGGCUUAACUCGGAACGGCCAAGUGAAACUGUCAUGCUAGAGUGCAGAAGGGGCAAUCGGAAUUCUUGGUGUAGCGGUGAAAUGCGUAGAUAUCAAGAGGAACACCUGAGGUGAAGACGGGUUGCUGGGCUGACACUGACGCUGAGGCGCGAAAGCCAGGGGAGCAAACGGGAUUAGAUACCCCGGUAGUCCUGGCCCUAAACGAUGAAUACUUGGUGUCUGGAAUUAUUAUUGUUCCGGGUGCCGUCGCUAACGUUUUAAGUAUUCCGCCUGGGGAGUACGCACGCAAGUGUGAAACUCAAAGGAAUUGACGG